rnacentral:rRNA from 1 species
CCUACGGGAGGCAGCAGUAGGGAAUAUUGGGCAAUGGAGGCAACUCUGACCCAGCCAUGCCGCGUGCAGGAAGAAGGCGUUAUGCGUUGUAAACUGCUUUUAUAUAGGAAGAAAUAGACCUUGCGAGGUAAGUUGACGGUACUAUAUGAAUAAGCACCGGCUAACUCCGUGCCAGCAGCCGCGGUAAUACGGAGGGUGCAAGCGUUGUCCGGAUUUAUUGGGUUUAAAGGGUGCGUAGGCGGUUUAUUAAGUCAGUGGUGAAAGACGGUCGCUCAACGAUUGCAGUGCCAUUGAUACUGGUAGACUUGAGUGGGAUUGAGGUAGCUGGAAUGGAUAGUGUAGCGGUGAAAUGCAUAGAUAUUAUCCAGAACACCAAUUGCGUAGGCAAGUUACUAAGUCUCAACUGACGCUGAGGCACGAAAGUGUGGGUAUCAAACAGGAUUAGAUACCCUGGUAGUCCACACUGUAAACGAUGAUAACUAACUGUUGGCUUUCGAGUCAGUGGUACAGAGAAAUCGUUAAGUUAUCCACCUGGGGAAGUACGCCGGNAACGGUGAAACGUUAAAGGAAUUGACGG